AGAUGCACUAACUGUAAGUCGCUCUGGAUAAGAGCGUCUGCUAAAUGACUAAAA
rfam:Salmo salar isolate Sally breed double haploid chromosome ssa21, whole genome shotgun sequence.